rnacentral:tRNA from 1 species
GGAGGUAUGGCUCAGUGGUAGACUGCAUGCUUAGCAUGCAUGGGGUCCUGGGUUUAAUCCCCAGCACCUCCA